UACUUUAGUUGAUUUCCGAUGCUUUAAUUUAGUUGAUUGAUAGUGCUUUACUUUAAUUAAUUAUCGGUGCUUUACUUACAUGAUUAAGCAUUGUAUAAUGCUGUUUGGCCUUGUUGAGUCGACUAAACUCAAAAACAAUUCUCAUUCUCAUCCGAAAACACUCAAAGAAACAGAGCAUUUUCUCCAAAGCUUGUUCUUGCUCCAUAGACCAUCAAUCAACCUCAGACCACUUCCCAUACCUUCACCUUGACCUUGCGCAGCUGCCAGUGGCAGCCUCGUACCGUAAGACGGCCAGCAGCGGCGGCGGAGGAGUCGGUUUCUGUUUGAGCUCGUUUUGGUUCAAUCUCAAUAUCUUGAGCUACAGGUUACCAUAUCUCUUGAUUCUUGUCUCAUUGGAUUCGCCUCAACCUUCUGAAGCCCCCAGAAGCAGCCUUGCACGGCGGCGCAUCCCGUAGCAGCAACUACAAGUCAACCCCGCCAAGAACGAAACCGGAGCUAUCGAUCCAAAUAUCUCGAGCUACAGGACGUAUUUUUGAGUGAUUCUUGAACCAGUGAGCUCACCUUGAAGUUCUGAAAAACUCUCCAGAAGGAAUCGAAGCGUUUCGUUGAAGUUUUUACGUCGAAACUCAAGCUCGCCGGAUUCUGGAAUUUUUCCGACCACCGAAGCUUUCGAUCGGUAUAUCUCGAGCUACAGACCAUAUUUUUCUGUGAUUCUUGAACCAGUGAGUUCUUCUUGAGUUUCUUAACAACUCUUAAGAAGGAAUCGAAGCCUUAAAUUGACGUUUUUACGUCGAAUUGGAGCUCGCCGUUUUCUGCAGUUUCUCGCCGGUUUCUGGAAAAUUCCGGCCACCUUCAUACUGUUCAAGGUGAUUGACGGUCUCCCUUGGGUGAAAGAUUUCGGUGUGUAUUGUGUUGAAUUGAAGACGCAGCGGGAAUAUCGAGCGGGUAAUCCUACAGGACAGGAGAACCAGGACGGUGAUCGUGCGGUUAGAGCAAUUGUUAGAGUUUUACAGCAAUUGUACGUUGUGAGGUGUGUUAUGCUCAUUUGAGCUUUACAAUAUUGCUUGUGAGAGUGAAUUGUAAUAAUGAACUCGAAGUUUCGAGAUUUGGAUUUUGUAAUUGUAAUUAUUCAUGUUUCGGAUUUGAAUUUAUUAUUCAAAAUUCGGGGCGUGACAGUUUGGUAUCAAAGCGUAAGGUGCAUAUUUGGUGAUGUGUCAAUACCUUCCGAGUGAUGGCCCGUCUGCAGCGGAUCCCCAUCGUGUGCUCUUCGGUAUUGGCUAAGUCAUUGGGUAUGCGUGAGUGUUGGGAGUUGUUUAGGCCGCUAGGUCGUUUUAGGAACGUGAAUACCUUCCCU